rfam:Myotis brandtii contig298866, whole genome shotgun sequence.
GGCAGGUCUAGGGUGACGGACCCUGGAAUCGGGCUCCCUCCUCUCUGGUUCUGGGUGUGCCACCUGAGAACCAUA